UCAACUCACCCAUCUGCCUAAAGUGGCAUAAUCCUUGUUCUACUUCUCUUUUUAGUUACGCAUGUACACACCAGAUGUGCGUUGCAGCUCGCUUUGCCAUUUUCUGCAGUUAUUUCUUUAAAAUAAGCUACAGCAUCCAGUCAACAAUAGUACCGCUCUGUAAAGAGAAAAUUAGAUAUAUUUCGGAGCGCUAGUACAAAUAUUAUGUUGAUCAAUGUAUAUGCGUAUGUGAGAGCGCUAGUACAAAUAUUUUGUAGAUCAGUGUGCAUGUGUAUGUAGUGCUGAUAUAUAACAGGACACUGUUUGUGCAGCUGCGUCUUUUGAAAUAGGCGACGCAUUAGGCGGCAUGUCAGAAAACAGAAAUGGAAAAUAACUGUUACUGAGUGAGGUCUGUUCGCUUUCAGCUGAGAGUGAAGAAAUAUGCAGGAACCGUUAUGUACUUUGAGUAUUGUUGAAAGAGCGAAUUGAAAUAAAAGGAUGUUGCGUCUUAUGAGUAGUUGAUCAGUUGGUGAAGUGACGUGAAAGCGAACAGAACUCGUUGUGUGUGCUAUUUAGUGUGAUUUUCAUAAGAGCAAAUAAACUUGCUGUAUUUUAUCAGUUAAGAAAGAAAAUUAAUAAGAAUAGUAUUGAAUCCGAUACCAGAGGAUUCUACAUAUAUAUAAAAUAAUAUCAGUAACAAAUUAUUAAUACGCACUUACAUCCACUCACUUCAAAUUUUCUUUUCAUAUGAAAGGCGGCCAUGGCGGAGAUUUUGAUCGGUUCAUUGUAGCACGUGCAUCUCUCUCUUAUACAUACAAAAAUUAGGGUUAAUUAAUGUUACCACUCUUACUACCGAGAUUGCCAUUUAACUACAAAAAGUUACUAUUGCGUAUGUGUUGGUAAAAGCUUAAAAACUUUGUAUGUGUAGUGGUGUAUGAGUUAGCUCCGUCUUGUAGGGAAGGCUAUAUCAUGGUUGCUUGUGAAGUAUUAUUUUGCGUGUUUUAUUUAAAUCAGUGAUCUGCAGCCUAAUUAAAGCUUAAAUUAUUGAUGCAUGCAUUUUUAAAUAAGUAAAACCUAAAAUAAAAGCAUUCUAAAGCCGAAAUAUGGAAUUGAAGGGGGUUAUACAGUAAUACUUUAUCGCACUGUUAAUUCGAAGUACGCAAUUGAAGCUACGCCAACGAUGGUCAACAUCAGGGGCGAAACCAUUGAAUACAUAUUUUAAACCUCAUAUGGCGCGUUAAAGGUACGCAAACUUAUUGGUGUCACUUAUGGUAGCAGCGUAGAACUUUCGAAGCGAUGGAAUAUGUGCUGCAAGCAAAUCCAGAGCUAUGGAUACAAACGCUGCUACAUCAAACACAAAUCAUUUACACACCAGAUAUUAGGUUAAAUGUCACUUUUUUUACGUGCAAUUAAAACUUUUGAUCAACACAAGCACGUGAAGAAUUGGAACGACAUGGUUUGGGUCCUAACCGUUUAUCAUCGCGACGUGUGUCAACUGGGUUUUUCCAAAGCAGUUGCAGCAUUUUUGGACUUACCGGCAAAUCAGUUGGUCGUGCCAUUAGCAGCUAAGACACAGAAAUUAAAGGGAUUUUUUUGAUUCAUUUUCACCUUGUCCAUAGUAGCACCUGUUGGCAAGAGUGAUUCUGCGUUGGAUUUCCAGGCUGACAUUGUUCUUGCUGUUAAUGCUGGUUCCCAGGUAGACGAAAUUAUCUACAACUUCAAAGUUAUUACUGUCAACAGUGACGUGGGAGCCAAGACGCGAAUGCGCUGACUGUUUGUUUGAUGACAGGAGAUAUUUCAUCUUGUCCUCGUUCACCACCAGACCCAUACGCUUCGCUUUGGAUGAAUCUAGUACUAGUGAAAUUAAUGAAAGAACAGAUCUUACAAAAACUCCUAAAGAAACCAAAAGAGUCCUCACAUAAUGUGCGCAGCUUACACUUCCUGGCCGCACGGGGUAUUUGACAUUUGCCACUCUUUCUCCAGCCUUUGUCAGAUAGCAAAAAUUGUUCAACUAUUCAAUUGUUUUACAUAUGUAUAUAGUGUAGUACGAUAAUACAUGUAUAAAUUAAAUAUAAUAAUAAACGCCUGAAUGGAUUGAUAUUUUCAAUAAAUAUGAAAUAUAAUUAAUAAUUUUGUUAUUAAAUUCUCAUUUGGGGGUCGUCAUCAAAAGGGGGGUUUCUCAUCCGAGGCUCGGUGUUUGUUUUCAUUGGGGAGAUUUUUUUAUGUGGUGGGUCCCAAGCCCUACGCACAACCGCACAAGCGGGCUUCGCCUUCUCACUUUAGCUCGCCUCCAAACGGAUGUCUGUUAGCUACCCAGGGGAUACUUGGUCUAAAACCGGAAGUCGUGAGCUGCUUGAGUCAUAUGCAAAAGAAUCGUUCCUGGCCACUCCCAAGUGAAUGGCAAUCAGAAACUUUCCUCACUUGCGUGAACUUCUACAUAUGACCCCAUCCCCCAACU